rnacentral:rRNA from 1 species
AUAGCGUAUAUUAAAGUUGUUGCAGUUAAAAAGCUCGUAGUUGAACUUCAGACCUGGCUGGGCGGUCAGCUUAUCGGCUUGUACUGUCUGGCUGGGCCUUACUUCUUGGUGAGCUGGUGUGCCCUUUAUUGGGUGCGUCGGUGAACCAGGACCUUUACCUUGAGAAAAUUAGAGUGUUCAAAGCAGGCCUAUGCCCGAAUACAUUAGCAUGGAAUAAUAAAAUAGGACGUGCGGUUCUAUUUUGUUGGUUUCUAGAGUCGCCGUAAUGAUUAAUAGGGAUAGUUGGGGGCAUUGGUAUUGAGUCGCUAGAGGUGAAAUUCUUGGAUUGACUCAAGACCAACUAUUG